ensembl:lncRNA
GUGUAGACCUGUAGGGAGUAAUCCUGUUUAGAGGUAUUACUUGACCCCGCCUGCUUGGGGCUGGUUAGAGGUACCUCCGACCACGCCCACUUGGGCGUGGUCAGAGUGACAUGGGAAGGGUUUAAGUAGCAGAGAGGUACACUUGCACGUGGCCUUCUUCUCUCUGCUGCCUGGCUGAGCAGACAUCUGCGGGCCACUCCAGCUCCCGCAUAAACCCGAUCACUGGCUCUUGCGGUACCGAUCACUGCUUGUCAGCCCUGGGAUGGAUGGAGAUGUCAAGGCGUGGAUCAUUCCAGAGUGAGCUUGGUUUCAAAUCCCUAAUCCUAUGACUCCAGCAAGUCGACUUGUAAAUGUUUUGAUUUUUGGUUUGGAAAAAAAAAUUUUUUUUCAAGCUGGAAGUACUGGCUCACAUCUAUAAUUCCAGGACUUGAGAAAGCUGAGGCAGGAGGAUUGCCAAGAACUGAGGCCAGCCUGGGCUAUGUGGGAAGUUCCAGCUAACUGAAUCGCAGAGUGAGACCCUAUUUAAAAAGAAAUGUCUGCUUGUAUGUAUAGUCUCUCUCUCUCUCUCCCCUCAUCUUCUGUACCCGUUUCUCCAUGGUCUGUGUGUGGGGUCUUCCCACCUAGGCCCCCUUUCAGCCUUGCCUGGAAGCCUUGCUGCCUAGGAGUGGCUGGAGAAGAGUUGGGGAGGCAGCCAAGAGGUCUGUUUGUAGUUCAGAUUCCUUUCAUUCCAGGCUCAGCAGGCUCUCCCAGGGAAGGGCUGUGAUGGGGAGGAGGGUCCUUGUCGCACCAGCUGUGGUGAGAAGUGUGUUUUCAUCAGCUGACACCCAACCAGAGCCCCUAGCCCCCUCAGCUACCCCUUUAAAGACCCUCCUAGUAUGGGGACAAUACUCAGGGCUGAGAUCUUUUCCUUUGCUUCCUCUUGAGUCCCCCCUUUCUCCUGGGGAUGCUGGGAUGCAUUUGGAAGGAGAAUGAGCAACAGAGAAAUUGUCUGGAGAGUGACUGCUUCGGUUCCAGCUUCGAAGAAACCACUUCCUACCCAUCAGUCCCCCAAAUUGAAGUCUGCAAAGUUUUACUUUAACCCAGCAAUGGAUUUAUCAUUCUUUCCUGCCACCCCCUAGGCCACAGAAUUCCUCAGGGGUUAUCAGGGUGACCUGGCCCUGGGGGAAGGCAACCUGAAACGCCCGGCCCCCCUUCCCAUUACCUCAGAGCUCAGAAGUCCUUGUUCCUGCCCCUCUCCCUGGGAAGCAUCCCCUCCAACAGCUCCUUUCUGACCUAGGGAAAGAAGGGAAAACAAACUUUGCGGCUUGGGCUGAGUUGUCUAUCAAGUGAAGUGAUCACUUUGUCUGACCUUCUCAACCUUUUGAGGAAGAAGAUUAAUGUCUCCAUUGUAGCAUUGUGUGACCACCCCAGGAAGGAUCACAUUGGCCAAUCAGCUAAGGCUGUGUUAUUGAGCUUCGGGAGUCUGAAUGAAGGCCCAGGUGGACUGUAAAUAUUCAGUUGGGAGCGUAGUGAAGCUGGGAGGUAAGAAGGUCUUUAGAAGGAACCAAGCCAUCACUAUAGGGCUUAAAGAUGGGCUAGAAAAGGUGAGAGAUUGAUCACAUUUAGAGUGUGGUUUUAUGGGAGAGAAUCCAAGUUAGACAAAUCUAGUUAGAAUCUAAAGGAAUGUAAGUUAGAAAGGUCUUUUGAUGAAGGAAAAGUCAGAAGAUUUGGGGCUGGAAAGAUGGGCUCAGUGGUUAAGAGCACAUGCUGCUCUUGUAGAAGACCUGGGUUCAGAUCCCAGCACCCACAAGGUGACUCCCAACCAUCUGUAACUCCAGUUCCAGAGGAUCUGAUGCCCUCUUCUGAUUUCCUCAGGAAUCAGGCACACAUAUGGUGCACAGACAUACUUGCAGGGAAAACGCCCAUAUACAGAAAUAAAAAUAAGUAAUUCUUAAAAAGAAAGAAAGCCUGGAGUUUUAGAGGAGAUGCAACAGGGUGGGGGUGGCGUGGGGGGUGGCAUUAAAUAGAUAGCACAAGAAAAAGAAGCCUGGUCGUGAGUUGGUGGUGUGCGCCUUUAAUCCCAGCAGAGGCAGAGGAUUUCUUUUUUUUUUUGAGACAGGGUUUCCCUGUGGCUUUGGAAGCUGUCCUGGAACUAGCUCUUGUAGACCAGGCUGGUCUCGAACUCACAGAGUCCGC